AACGUGCCCAGUCGUGGGGGAUAACGUAGCGAAAGCUACGCUAAUACCGCAUACGAUCUACGGAUGAAAGCGGGGGACUCGCAAGAGCCUCGCGCGAUUGGAGCGGCCGAUAUCAGAUUAGGUUGUUGGUGAGGUAAAAGCUCACCAAGCCUGCGAUCUGUAGCUGGUCUGAGAGGACGACCAGCCACACUGGAACUGAGACACGGUCCAGACUCCUACGGGAGGCAGCAGUGGGGAAUUUUGGACAAUGGACGCAAGUCUGAUCCAGCAAUGCCGCGUGCAG
rnacentral:rRNA from 1 species